rnacentral:rRNA from 1 species
UACAGAGGGUGCAAGCGUUGCUCGGAAUUAUUGGGCGUAAAGGGUAGGUAGGUGGUCUCAUUUGUCUGUGGUGAAAGCCUUGGGCUUAACUCAAGAAGUGCCGCAGAAACGGUGAGACUGGAGUCCUGGAGAGGGUCGUGGAAUUCCCGGUGUAGCGGUGAAAUGCGUAGAGAUCGGGAGGAACACCAGUGGCGAAGGCGACUUCCUGGCCUGUUCUUGACGCUGAGGCGCGAAAGCUAGGGGAGCAAACGGG